rnacentral:rRNA from 1 species
UUGGAGCCCGAACUCUCACUUUCUAACCCUGUGCAUCUGUUAUUGGUUAGUAGCUCUUCGGAGUGAACUCCAUUCACUUACAAACACAAAGUCUAUGAAUGUAUACAAAAUUAUAACAAAACAAAACUUUCAACAACGGAUCUCUUGGCUCUCGCAUCGAUGAAGAACGCAGCGAAAUGCGAUACGUAAUGUGAAUUGCAGAAUUCAGUGAAUCAUCGAAUCUUUGAACGCACCUUGCGCUCCUUGGUAUUCCGAGGAGCAUGCCUGUUUGAGUGUCAUGAAAUCAUCAACCCACCUCUUUCUUAGUGAAUCUGGUGGUGCUUGGUUUCUGAGCGCUGCUCUGCUUCGGCUUAGCUCGUUCGUAAUGCAUUAGCAUCCGCAACCGAACUUCGGAUUGACUUGGCGUAAUAGACUAUUCGCUGAGGAUUCUAGUCUCGUACUAGAGCCGGGUUGGGUUAAAGGAAGCUUCUAAUCCUAAAGUCUAUUUUUUGAUUAGAUCUCAAAUCAGGUAGGACUACCCGCUGAACUUAAGCAUAUCAAA